UAAAUAAGGCCUCAACAGGCCACAGGAAGCCUUGUGCACUGAUACAAAUGGGCCAACAUAUUACUGAAGAGCUAGAAAGGAAAAUAAAAACAAAAAAAAAAUGCCAGGACAUCCAGAUGAUGGUAAAAAUAAGCUUGGAAGGUGACAGGAACUCAGAGCUCAGUCCUUCAGAGAAAAGGAUGCCACCAUGCGGCUGCAGCCUUCAGCCAGUCACUAGAGUAUAUGUCUACAGAGAAGAAUUGCACUCUAGCAG